GAUGAACGCUGGCGGCGUGCCUAAUACAUGCAAGUCAAGCGAACAGACGAGGAGCUUGCUCCUCUGACGUUAGCGGCGGACGGGUGAGUAACACGUGGAUAACCUACCUAUAAGACUGGGAUAACUUCGGGAAACCGGAGCUAAUACCGGAUAAUAUAUUGAACCGCAUGGUUCAAUAGUGAAAGACGGUUUUGCUGUCACUUAUAGAUGGAUCCGCGCCGCAUUAGCUAGUUGGUAAGGUAACGGCUUACCAAGGCAACGAUGCGUAGCCGACCUGAGAGGGUGAUCGGCGACACUGGAACUGAGACACGGUCCAGACUCCUACGGGAGGCAGCAGUAGGGAAUCUUCCGCAAUGGGCGAAAGCCUGACGGAGCAACGCCGCGUGAGUGAUGAAGGUCUUCGGAUCGUAAAACUCUGUUAUUAGGGAAGAACAAAUGUGUAAGUAACUAUGCACGUCUUGACGGUACCUAAUCAGAAAGCCACGGCUAACUACGUG
rnacentral:rRNA from 1 species